UAAUCUGCAACAGUGGAGGAGAAACAUGCAACCUUGUAAUUUUAGUUAAAGCCUGGGUGCCAUCGAUAUGUACUCGUCGUCUCUUCUACUUGUCCCGGUGUAGUCGGAAACAAACUCCUCGUAUAUGUAGGAAUGCAUGCACAUGGAGAUGUGAAGAGUGCAGAGGAGAGGGCAUUGCAGAGCGGGCGGAAGAGAGGAAGAAAAAGAAAUGGCGAAUUAUUGCAGAACGAUGUUAUGGACAUUGAUGAUAAUAUUAUGCGUUCCUCCACCUCGUGCGCUCGUUAACUGCAAACUUUUGAAACGAGAUGUGAAAGCAUUGAAUGAAAUACAAUCUUGUUUAGGGUGGAAAGUCGUGUAUGCCUGGGUUGGUGAUGAUCCAUGCGGAGAUCAAUGGGCUGGAAUUACUUGUUCUCCUCAUCCAUCUCUUCCAAAUUAUCAAGUUGUCUCACAACUAGAGCUUUAUGGAGUUUCAAUUGCUGGUCACUUUCCUAUGGCAGUGACAAAUCUUUUGGAUCUUACAAAGUUAGAUCUCCAUGGCAAUAAAUUGGUUGGUGCAAUCCCCCCUCAGAUCGGACGGCUUAAAAAGCUUAGGACAUUGAAUCUGAGGUGGAACAAAUUGCAAGAUUCAAUUCCACCAGAAAUAGGCGAACUGAAAGAAUUAAGGAACCUAUAUUUGAGUUUUAACAACUUGAAAGGGCCAAUACCAAAAGAACUUGGGAAUUUGCCUGAGCUUCGCUACCUCUAUCUUCAUGAAAACCGUCUUGCAGGUCAUAUUCCUUCAGAACUUGGAAAUCUUCGCCACCUUCGCCACUUGGAUGUGAGUAACAAUCGUUUGGUGGGGACAAUAAGGGAGCUUAUCCGCACAGAAGGCUGCUUUCUCUCUUUGCGUUAUUUGUAUAUUAAUCACAACUAUUUCACAGGUGGUGUUCCCUCACAGCUUGCCAAUUUACAAAAUCUUGAAAUUGUGUAUUUGUCUCACAACAAAAUUUCUGGGCCUAUACCAGCAGAGCUUGCUUCUCUUCCUAGAUUAACAUACCUGUUUUUGGAGCAUAAUUCAUUUUCAGGAAGGAUUCCUGAUGCUUUUUACGAGCAUCCACAUUUGAAGGAAAUGUAUAUCAAAGGAAAUCGGUUUCACUCAGGUGCCACACCAAUUGGUGUUCAUAGAACAAUGGAGGUGUCUGACACAGAACUUCUUUUCUAGGUGAGCGGAAAUAACAAUACAAAUUGCACUCCAUCUGACAUUGGGUUUGAAUCCCAGCCUGAAUUGACACAAGCUGGCACAGCAUCCAGAACCCUUAUGAUUCUACCACUCAGGGUCUAAAAUGGUUGGGGGUUAGAUUUGACAUCCAUUUGAAUGUCAAGGGGCAGUUUUUCUUCCUGUCAUAAAUUUGUGCAAUAGUACUCUGUUUCACGCCAUUUUUUUAAACCAUUGGAAAAGUUUUCCAUAAAUCUACACAUUUAUGUUGUUUUUUGUGGCAUUUGAAAAUUUCUAUCCUAUUCUUAUCUCAACUAAGUAUGAAGUAGAUUGUUUUUGUGCCUAUGUUGAAGGGGCACAAUUAUGAAUCUUUGUAGGAUUAUAUGCAAACAAAAUUAAUGGGAAGAGGUUUGUAGUCCAUUAUAACAUGCAAAAAUUAUUUUCCAGCCAAACUCAAGAAGCGAAUUGAGUAUAAAUACCAUGUAGCAGCUGCCUAUGAACUCUUUAUUGGUCACAUUGGAAUGCAUCUACAGCAUCACAUUAUGGAUUGAAGAGCCCUUAUUGUGUAUUGGAUAAAUUCGAUUAGUUGUUUCUGAUUAGAGUGUUGUUUCUUCUAUUGAGGUUGAUGAUGCAAUGACAGAGGCCAUCAAGGAUUUUCAUAAUUUGAAAUCUUACAAUCAAAGUCUGUUGGAGGAGAAUGUUGAAUCAAGCAAAAGCAUACAAUACCAUUAAACAUUAAGGGCAUACUGAUGAUGGUAUUACUUUUGAUGGUAAUUAUGCUAUUGUUGAUGCUACUUGUGAUACUGUUAUGAAUAAAGAAAGAAGUAUACAAUAGUACUAGACAUGAAAGGCAUACUGAUGAUGCUGCUACUUUUGAUGGUAAUUAUGCUAUUGUUGAUGCUAAUCAUGGUAUUGUUAAAGGUACUUUUAUUAAUAGUGAUUGUACUUCUCAUAUUAUUGAA